GUUUUAGUAAAUUGACAUAAAAAUAUUGAUUUUGUAAAUCAAAUUUAAGAAAAAUUUCUUUUGAAACU
rnacentral:tRNA from 1 species